AUCCCUCGAGGUGGUAAAUUCCGUUGCAACCACACACCUUUACGGUCAAAAGAGAUGCAGGAGAGGCGACGCCUGCCGAGGGAU
rnacentral:ncRNA from 1 species